UACGUAGGGUCCGAGCGUUGUCCGGAAUUAUUGGGCGUAAAGGGCUCGUAGGCGGUUUGUCACGUCGGAAGUGAAAACUCAGGGCUCAACCCUGAGCGUGCUUACGAUACGGGCAAACUAGAGGUAUGCAGGGGAGAACGGAAUUCCUGGUGUAGCGGUGGAAUGCGCAGAUAUCAGGAGGAACACCGGUGGCGAAGGCGGUUCUCUGGGCAUUACCUGACGCUGAGGAGCGAAAGCAUGGGGAGCGAACAGGAUUAGAACCUACCGUGUA
rnacentral:rRNA from 1 species